UCUCGGCCUUCACGUGGGGGUGAGAGGGGGGCAGAGUGAGGCAGGCCGCCCAGCCCAGUGGAGUUCAGGAGCUGGGCUUGAAACCCAGCUCAGCCCUCACCAGCCAGAUGGCCCUGGGCAAGCCAUUUAGUCCCUUGAGCCUCAGGUUUCUCAUCUAUAAUGUAGGGGCAGUUAUCAUCUCUGGCCCCACCCCCCCCAACACAGCUGUUGUCCAGUAACUUUGGGAAAAGCCCUGGAAAGAGGCAAAACAGAAACAGGUCUAAAGGGCAACUGCGAGCGUGAUUGUAAAUAAAAGCCUUAAGGUCUCGGUCACGAAGAAGAUACCUCUGCCCAGACCCCCAAGUUCACAGGGGAGCUUCGGGCAUGACGGAAUGAGUCUUGGGUCCCGUGGGGGGGUGACCCUCUGCUGCGGACAAAGCGGUGUGGAUUCUCUGGUUCUUUCUGGCUGCUCGAGGCACAUGCUUCCAGAGAAAGAGAGACCCAGUUCUCCCAGGGCACAGGGGAACGUCAUUUCUCUGGAGAAAAAGGCAUACUUGCUAUGUGUCCUCUGAUGUCAGGAUACCCCCCAGGAUGAGGGUGGCCCGGCAGUCCUGGCCCCUGCACUUGUCAGAUAAACACAGAUAAAUAUCCUGUCCUUUGCCACAUCCGGGGUUCUGAAAGAAAAUACCAUCAAAAAGAAAGGAGAAAAAGCGAUUUUCUUUCCAGGUAACGAAUCUGUGUUUUGUUUUUGUUUUUGUUUUUUUUUAAACUGAGUUAUCUAGAAAGAGGGUGGGCUACUUGGUUGAUCUUUCAAAACAACAGAAAUGUGGUCCCAGAAGGAGUUGUUAAGUUGGACCUAAGGCAGAGCUACCCACGGCUGUCUCUAUGUGGCCAGGAAAGUUGUAGGAGGGGCAGAGUGUGCAAAGAUGCUGAAAGUGGCCCAUUUUUAACUGAGACACUCUCUCUUCUUACAGUAUUUGGGAUUUUAUUGCCUAGAAAUGGGUGGGCCAGCCUUUCCUGAUAGAGACCACCCUCAGUUUACUGUGACCUUCUCUUGGCCUUCUCCUUGCUGUGUGACCUUGGGACACAGGUUUAUACACGAAUGCCCCAGCGUGACUCCUGCGUGUGGCUGAAGUCUCCCUGGGGGACACCUGUCAGGAGAGCCAAGACUUGAUCAAUGUCGGCUGCCCUCAGGAGACCUUGGAGUCAGCGAGGACCACGUCCUGCCUGAAGAGACAGGUCCACCUUUGGCCCAAGCCCCAGGGCAUGCUGGGAGAAAGGAGUCUGGCUGGGGCUGAAAGAAGCAGCUGUGGCAGCUGAGUGAGAGGCAAAACUCUUACUAGAAUAUUUGGGCUGGCAAGUGACACCACUUCUGCUCCAAGAUAAGAUGGAGACUCUUCCAAGCUAUGUUUUAAAAUCAUAAAAAACAGAGUCUCCUGCUGGAGAUAAGAAGUGUGUUGGUUUGGGGCAUCUGGGAGCUGUGAAAGGGGAGGGUUAUCCCAGCAUUACUGAGAUUAUUGCUGAAACCAAGAUUAUAAGUAAUUAAGGUUUUGAAAGUUUUCUCCAGGUACACAAUAGACUUACUCAGUAUCUUGGAUUCUUGAGCUGGGGUCAGGUUAACUAUUAAAAGAGGAAAAAAAAAGUAUUUCUAACAAACCUGAAGUUUAUUUAAAGCCUACGCCAUUCCUGUUGCUUUAGCAGAUCUCGCUUUAAGCUGUAGCUCUUUUCCUGGCUCUCAGGACAUCUAAUGUUGAUUCACUUGCAUGCCUAGAUUCAUGGUGUUUAAACUCAUUGCCAAGUUCAAUUAGCCUCAUUUUUACCUUCACCACACUGUCCCCUGGGAUCCAACAGACUCACAGCCCUGGAGAAAUGAGGACCAACAAUCAUUGCAUUUCUUCUCCAACUUUAACUCCCUUUGCUAGAACCAAAUGCUGGGCUUGCACGGGACACUCUUGCUCUCAGAAGGAACAGAUUGCAUUUUUCAUUGCAGAAGCACAUGAGCCCUAACUUUCAUGUGCCUAGAAUGUUCUUUUAUAGGCAUCCUUUUUCAGUAUCUUUGAUCUGCAGGAUGUAAUCACAUUUUCCUUGAAGAUAUAAAUCAUCUAGAAAAACACAGAAGAGGAGAAAAUUCCCUUAAAUAACUUCUCAAACUGAAUUAAAAACAUAAGUUAAUUAUUUUGAAUUACUUCAUAAUUCUCCCGUCUGUAUCUCCUGUUCUCAUCUUGUCUUAGCAUCAUCUGUGCUGGCCACCCUGGGUCUUAGACGAGACACUUCAUUCACAAAGGGAAACUUUUAAUUUGCUUAAAUUGGCAUGGAACGACUUUCGCAGGAUCAGAGGAUUUAACUUUGUUUCUUAAAUGUCCGUGUUUAAUCUUUAAAUGUUUUUUAUUUUUUAAUGCCCACUGAUAAAUGGAUAAAGAAAUUGUGAUACAUAUCUACAUAACAGAAUGUUAUUCAGCCUUAAAAAGAAAACGGAAAUUUCGCCAUUUGUGACAACACAGAUGAAUCUGAAGGAGGUUAUGCUAAGUGAAAUAAGCCAGCCACAGAAAGACAAAUGCUGCCCGACCUCAGUCAUGUGUGGGAUCUAAAAUAGUCCAACACUUAGAAGCACUGAGUAGAGUGGUGGCUGCCAGGAGCCGGGGGUGGAGGAAACGGGGAGAUGUUGGUCAAAGGGUAUAAACUUUCAGUUACGCAAGAUGAGCAAGUGCUGAAAAUCUAACAUACAGCAUGCUGACCGUAGUGAACAAUACUUUAUUGUAUAUUUGUGUUUGCUAACACGGUAGAUCUUAAGUGUUCUCACUACACACACACACACACACACACACACACACGUAAUUAUAUGAGGUCACGGGUAUGCUGAUUAGCUUGACUGUGGUGAUCAUUUCACGAUGCAUACACAAAUCCUACAUCAAGUUGUACAUCUUAAAUAUAUACAACGUUCAUUUGUCUAUUAUACCUCACAAUCACCAAAGCUAAAAUUUUUUUUAAAAAAAACAAGAAAUUAAAACAAAACAAGGGCUUCCCUGGUGGCGCAGUGGUUGAGAGUCCGCCUGCCGAUGCAGGGGACACGGGUUCGUGCCCCGGUCCGGGAAGAUCCCACAUGCCGCGGAGCGGCUGGGCCCGUGAGCCAUGGCCGCUGAGCCUGCGCGUCCGGAGCCUGUGCUCCGCAACGGGAGAGGCCACAACAGUGAGAGGCCCGUGUACCGCAAAAACAAAACAAAACAAGAAAUUUUAGCAAGCAUUUAACCAAAACUGUGCCAUAGUGUUCAGGACUUUGUGUUGCAGACACCAGAAACCUGCUCAAGAAAUAGAGAGACACUAUGCAAAAGAUAGAGGGGUAACUCUCAGGGCGGAAGUGGGCCCCAGGGCCAGUCAGCUCCAGGGUCUCAGGAGCAGGUACUGGGCCCCUCCGGGCAAUUGCAGAAGCUUCUCCGCCCUGGAUGACCUGUGCUGCCCAUACCUUGGGGGUAGCAUCUUUGGGGCUUGGUGCAAAAAAAAAGGAGGAUGUUUCCAGUCUGUAGAGUUAAAAAAAAAUAUCCAAGAGAAGGGCUCAAUUUUGCUGAACUUGGGUCAUGUGCUCACGUCCACCAGCCACAGCACUCUUACAGGGGAGACAUUCCAGGUUCCAAAAAGGAGCCUUGAACUUGGGUCAUGUGCUCACGUACACCAGAGGACUGUCUGAUUGUCCCUCAGAGGAGUUGCAGAGCUGCACCAGGAGAUACACUUGCCCCACCACACAGGGUGACUUCAUACCCUACACGCCAAAAUGCUCCCCCACAGCCAUUCUUUCUAUGAGGAAAAAAUGAGCAAAGAGUAAAAGACAGUGUUGCCGUGACCAACCGGAACCUUUGAUUAACCAGAAAUCGGUUUUUCAUUCAACUUUAGGGGAAAAUAGAAGAAAGUCUUGGGGGCUUACUUCACAAUCUCACUCUUAGGGUAUGUUCCAGGGGGCUCUCAUUCUUCCAGGUAUCUUUUGCAUGCUUUUUAAAUUGUGAUAAAAUCCACAUAACCUAAAAUUUACCAUUUUAAGUGUACAGUUCAAUAGCAUUAGGUACAUUCACAACGUUGUGUAAUGAUCACCACAGAGUCCGUUUCACCAUCCUAAACAGAAACUCUGUGCCCAUUAAAUAAUAACCUCCCCUGCCCCCUGCCCCAGCCCCUGGUAACCUCUAGUCUACUUUCUGUCUCUAUGAAUUUGCCUAUUCUAGAUACCUCAUAGAGGUGGAAUCAUGUAAUAUUUGUACUUUUGUGUCUGACUCUUUCACUUAGCAUAACGUUUUCAAGGUUGGUUCACCCAUGUUGUUGCAUGUGUCAGAAUUUUAUUCCUUUUAAUGGCUGAAUUUUAUAUAUA